GGGCCCGCACAAGCGGUGGAGUAUGUGGUUUAAUUCGAUGCAACGCGAAGAACCUUACCAGGGUUUGACAUCCUGCGAAUCUCUUGGAAACAGGAGAGUGCCUUCGGGAACGCAGUGACAGGUGGUGCAUGGCUGUCGUCAGCUCGUGUCGUGAGAUGUUGGGUUAAGUCCCGCAACGAGCGCAACCCACGUCUUUAGUUGCCAGCAUUUAGUUGGGCACUCUAGAGAGACUGCCGGUGAUAAACCGGAGGAAGGUGUGGAUGACGUCAAGUCCUCAUGGCCCUUACGGGUUGGGCUACACACGUGCUACAAUGGUAGUGACAAUGGGUUAAUCCCCAAAAACUAUCU
rnacentral:rRNA from 1 species